rnacentral:rRNA from 1 species
GUGAGGAAUAUUGGUCAAUGGGCGGAAGCCUGAACCAGCCAAGUCGCGUGAAGGAAGAAGGAUCUAUGGUUUGUAAACUUCUUUUGAAGGGGGAUAAAGUGGGUUACGUGUAACCCAUUGCAGGUACCCUUGGAAUAAGCAUCGGCUAACUCCGUGCCAGCAGCCGCGGUAAUACGGAGGAUGCGAGCGUUAUCCGGAUUUAUUGGGUUUAAAGGGUGCGUAGGUGGCUUUUUAAGUCAGCGGUGAAAACUGGCGGCUCAACCGCAAGAGUGCCGUUGAAACUGGGGAGCUAGAGUAUGAACGAGGUAGGCGGAAUGUGUGGUGUAGCGGUGAAAUGCAUAGAUAUCACGCAGAACUCCGAUAGCGAAGGCAGCUUACCAGGCCAUAACAGACACUGAAGCACGAAAGCGUGGGGAUCGAACAGGAUUAGAAACCCCAGUAGUCC